GAAAUGCGAUACGCAAUGCGAAUUGCAGAAUUCCGCGAAUCAUCAGAUUCUUGAACGCAACUGGCGCUGGAGGGAUAUCCUUCCAGCAUGCCUGUUUCAGUGUCUGAUAACUUCCAAAUUAUAACAUAAUGUGUUUGACAAGGGAUAUGACCUGGUCUUGUAUCUUGCUCAUCUCCUGAGUCUUACAUUAAAGAUGUAUGUGUGGGUCUUUGGAUCCAUCGAAUUGGUCACUGACACCUCAGUGAUUUCGAUUGGAAAUCCAAUUACUCGUAUACUCAUAGAAUCUAUAUAUCAACCUCUAAUAUCUGCAUCUGAAAUCAGGCAAGAACACCCGCUGAACUUAA
rnacentral:misc_RNA from 1 species